GAGACUGAGGCUGUAAGAAAAGGAACUUGGCUACAGGUCACAGGACAAGUCAGAAGAAAAGCCAGGGAGGACGGAUGGUCACCCUCCUACGCAUUCAAGGCCCAGGGGUUUUCAGGUGAAGAGGAACUAGGUGCCUGGGUCUUUGUACCUUUGCAGGAUCUCUCAGAAGCAAGGGAGGCUGUGUAGGAACAUGGCGUGCGGUAGGGGCUAAAUCUCAGAAGACAAUGCAGCUUCUAUAUGUUCUGUCUACCUUUCUGUCUCUCUCCCUGAACACUUGGCCUUGGGGCCCAAAUACUAUGCUGCGGUGAAGCCCAACAUGAAGACAGGAAGAGGUCACUGUAGAUGUCCUGGCCAAUAGCUCAGCUAAAGUUUCAGCCAGCAGCCAGCUUCCACAGACAUGUCUUCCAAUAAAUCCAUCUCCUAGACUUUAAGCCACCCCAGUUGCUCCAGCAUCAAUUGAGAAGAGGACUCAACGACACUGGCAAUACUGCUGAAAAUCAGUUGCCUGUGGAUGUUGCCCUUCUACUUUAACUCAAGCAUCAUUGCCUCGGGGAAGACUUGGCCAACACCUCUCUGUCCUGAUCUCAUCUCCAAUAGGCUUUCAACCCUGCAGAUAGAAACCCUGUCUAUUCUGGCUUCCACUGAAUCCUCCUGAUCACCACCAUGCCUGGCACAAGGAAGAUAUUUGAUGUGUACUUGUUGAGUUAAUUAGUGAAUGAAGAUAUACAUGCAUGAAUGAGCCUGGCAGACAGGAUUCUAAUCCCAC